GUGGCUCACGGUGCCCACACUGUGCGCUACUAACAACAUGGUUUACCCCGCACACUGCUUUCCCCUGGGGGAAAAGACCAGCGUGGGAUUUGGGUACGUGCAAGGCAAACAGCCUACGGGACAAGCUCCCAGGAAAGGCCUGGUGCUGGGCGUCCAGCAGCUUCCCUGGCAGAUGCCCUGUCAUACCUGUUGGCACCACUCCCUGCUGAGACGUCAGAGCGUGCUGUGUGACUUCACUGGGACAAGAGUUCUGGAAGCCUGACUUCCUCCAGACUUCACCCCAUGCGCCUUUCACUUUUUGUGAUUUUGCUUCGUAUCCUUUCACUAUAAGAAACCUUAGGCCUAAGUGUGACUACGUGCCAAAUCCUAAAACAGUGCCAGGCGGUUGAAGGCCAGGAGUUGCACCAGCCCAAAUCAUCAUCAUCGGAGAGGGAGGACAUGCAGAAAAUGCCAGAUUCUGACUCACUAUUUGCCUAUGGAGAAAAACAGCAGAAACUUUUUUAUUUUGUAACAUAUUUUGUUCAUAUCUGUCUUUAUCUCAAGGCCUCAGGCUCUCUCUCCCCACAAGUAGAUAACUUUAAGCACUAUAAACUUAGGUAAAAAUACUCCUUUGAAAACUAAAGUUUCUAGAAGUUUUAGUUCAGUGCAUGUUCCCACUGGUAACAAACUUUCCCAACAGUUGGUAGAGCUGUAAGUAAAGUAAAAUCGAAUCCAGACCACUGGCAGAACAAUGAGACGACUUCCCAGCUGUAAGUGCUUCAAAAGUACUUCUGAGAAAAGGAAAGUUAACAUAUUUCAACUGUUGUGCAAACUCCGUAACAAUUUACUCUCAUGAAUAAACUCACCCUUUCGUGUCCGA